rnacentral:rRNA from 1 species
GGGGGGGGGGGGGGGGGGGGGGGGGGGGGGGGGGGGGAGCGGGGGGGGGGGGCGUGCGCCUGGGUGCGGCGGCGGGCGGGUGAGUAAUGCCUGGGGAGCUGCCUGGGAGUGGGGGAUCGCGGCCGGAAACGGGGGCUAAGACCGCAUCCGGCCUGAGGUAGAAAGGGGGGGGUCUUCGGGCCUCACGCUGUCGGAUGAGCCUAGGUCGGAUUAGCUGGUUGGUGGGGUAACGGCCUACCAAGGCGAUGAUCCGUGACUGGUCUUAGAGGAUGAUCAGUCACACUGGAACUGAGACACGGUCCAGACUCCUACGGGAGGCAGCAGUGGGGAAUAUUGGACAAUGGGCGAAAGCCUGAUCCAGCCAUGCCGCGUGUGUGAAGAAGGUCUUCGGAUUGUAAAGCACUUUAAGUUGGGAGGAAGGGCAGUAAGUUAAUACCUUGCUGUUUUGACGUUACCAACAGAAUAAGCACCGGCUAACUUCGUG